AUAUUAGUCAAUGCUCAAAAGAGUGAACUAGCUAACUGAAAUCAAUAAUAAUAAUUGAUAACAUAAGGGAAAAUAAUGAUCUUACCUUAUUAUUAGUGUCGUCCAAAACUGGUGCCAGAAGACUCGGUAAGGCCAGAGACACAAACGUUAAUCGUCUUAAUCAGGCGUAAAGGGUUUGUAGGCGGCUUUAAAAUUUAUUUUUUAUAAAAUAAAAAAAGUAAAGAAUAAAAGCUAGAAUCAAAUAGAGGAUAUAUUAAAUAAUGCUUAGAGUAGGUCUGAUAUCCUUAGAUACUAAGUAGAAUAUUAAAGGUGAAAGCUUUUUUCCAUUAAUGAUUGACGCUCAGAAACGAAGGUGAGGAUAGGAAAUAGGAUUAGAUACCCAAAAUACCCCUCUCUGUCAACGAUGAAUGGUAGUUAUUAGUAAAAAAAAAUUAUUAAUGGCAAUGUUAACACGAUAACCAUUCCGCCUUGUGAGUACUACUGCAAAGUUGAAAACAAAAAAAUUAGUCGGUUUCGGAGCAAACGAAGUGAAGCAUGUUAUUUAAUUC
rnacentral:rRNA from 1 species